GACGAACGCUGGCGGCGUGCUUAACACAUGCAAGUCGAACGGAAAGGCCCUGCUUUUGUGGGGUGCUCGAGUGGCGAACGGGUGAGUAACACGUGAGUAACCUGCCCUUGACUUUGGGAUAACUUCAGGAAACUGGGGCUAAUACCGGAUAGGAGCUCCUGCUGCAUGGUGGGGGUUGGAAAGUUUCGGCGGUUGGGGAUGGACUCGCGGCUUAUCAGCUUGUUGGUGGGGUAGUGGCUUACCAAGGCUUUGACGGGUAGCCGGCCUGAGAGGGUGACCGGCCACAUUGGGACUGAGAUACGGCCCAGACUCCUACGGGAGGCAGCAGUGGGGAGUAUUGCACAGUGGGCGGAAGCCUGAUGCAGCGACGCCGCGUGCGGGAUGACGGCCUUCGGGUUGUAAACCGCCGUCGCCUGUGACGAAGCGUGAGUGACGGUAAUGGGUAAAGAAGCACCGGCUAACUACGUG
rnacentral:rRNA from 1 species